rnacentral:lncRNA from 1 species
ACAGGUUGGUCAUACACUGAUUUGUGGCAGAAGCACAGAAAGGAAGUGUUUAGCUCUAGAAAGCCAUUCCAAAGAGGGAAUAAAGAGCACUAGCCGUGUCAAAUGCUGUGGUUCCUGCAACAGAGAAAUCUUCGCAGGGAUGGCUGAGGAGACUGCCAGCCGUGCGUAACAUCACUGCUGCAUAACACAUCUUUCCCUCCUAGAUUUGCCUCUCGCACCACUUAUUGUCUUGUGUCGUUCUGGUGAAGCGAGUUCUCUUCCCGUUCCUGGCAGGUAAGUGUCUAACACGUAGGAUUCAUAGGAUUCAUAGGAUUCUCGCCAAGGAAGUAAAUAAUUAAAUGAUAAGUC